CAGUUCGGACUGCAGUCUGCAACUCGACUGCACGAAGCUGGAAUCGCUAGUAAUCGCAGAUCAGAAUGCUGCGGUGAAUACGUUCCCGGGUCUUGUACACACCGCCCGCCACACCAUGGGAGUCAGUAACGCCCGAAGUCAGUGACCUAACCGCAAGGGAGGAGCUGCCGAAGGCGGGACCGAUAACUGGGGUGAAGUCGUAACAAGGUACC
rnacentral:rRNA from 1 species